rnacentral:rRNA from 1 species
UCUUCCGCAAUGGACGAACGUCUGACGGAGCAACGCCGCGUGAGUGAUGAAGGUUUUCGGCUCGUAAAACUUCGUUGUUAGGGAAGAACAAGUAUCGUUCGAAUAGGGCGGUACCUUGACGGUACCUAGCCAGAAAGCCACGGCUAACUACGUGCCAGCAGCCGCGGUAAUACGUAGGUGGCAAGCGUUGUCCGGAAUUAUUGGGCGUAAAGCGCGCGCAGGCGGUUUCUUAAGUCUGAUGUGAAAUCUUGCGGCUCAACCGCAAGCGGCCAUUGGAAACUGGGAGACUUGAGUGCAGAAGAGGAGAGUGGAAUUCCACGUGUAGCGGUGAAAUGCGUAGAGAUGUGGAGGAACACCAGUGGCGAAGGCGACUCUCUGGUCUGUAACUGACGCUGAGGCGCGAAAGCGUGGGGAGCGAACAGG